AGGGGCACGAUUCAAAAUAAAAGGGCAGUUAGCAAAGGAAGUUCACGUAUGCACCCCUUCCUCUUAAUCCGUCGUUACCGUCAGUGCCAUUUACGUAUGGCCGGCCGGCGUAUUUUUUAUUUACACGCUAGCGAGGGGAAUUUCUCGAUUAAUUCCAAUGAAACCGCUUAAAAUUCCAAUGAAACCGCUCGCGAAGAGUCUAGCCUAGAUCGGAGAGCUCGCUAGUGCUAUACGCUAGUGUGAAUUUACAUCCAGGAGAAAGUUUGCUUAACUUUUUCUUGAAACACUUGAACGGUUAUGGAAACUGUUUGUGUUUCUAAUCUCCAAAUAUUAAUAUUAUUC